UGGGGAAUUUUGGACAAUGGGCGAAAGCCUGAUCCAGCAAUGCCGCGUGUGUGAAGAAGGCCUUCGGGUUGUAAAGCACUUUUGUCCGGAAAGAAAUCCUUGGCUCUAAUACAGUCGGGGGAUGACGGUACCGGAAGAAUAAGCACCGGCUAACUACGUGCCAGCAGCCGCGGUAAUACGUAGGGUGCAAGCGUUAAUCGGAAUUACUGGGCGUAAAGCGUGCGCAGGCGGUUUGCUAAGACCGAUGUGAAAUCCCCGGGCUCAACCUGGGAACUGCAUUGGUGACUGGCGGGCUAGAGUAUGGCAGAGGGGGGUAGAAUUCCACGUGUAGCAGUGAAAUGCGUAGAGAUGUGGAGGAAUACCGAUGGCGAAGGCAGCCCCCUGGGCCAAUACUGACGCUCAUGCACGAAAGCGUGGGGAGCAAACAGGAUUAGAUACCCUGGUAGUCCACGCCCUAAACGAUGUCAACUAGUUGUUGGGGAUUCAUUUCCUUAGUAACGUAGCUAACGCGUGAAGUUGACCGCCUGGGGAGUACGGUCGCAAGAUUAAAACUCAAAUGAAUUGACGGGGUCAUAGCUGUUU
rnacentral:rRNA from 1 species